rnacentral:rRNA from 1 species
AACGAACGCUGGCGGCGUGUCUUAAGCAUGCAAGUCGAGCGGCAAGGCGGGGCAACCCGCCCUAGAGCGGCGGACUGGUGAGUAACACGUGGGUGAUCUACCCUUGGGUUGGGGAUAGCCACUAGAAAUAGUGGGUAAUACCGAAUACGUUCGCGGGGUUGCGGCCCCGUGAGGAAAGGCGCUACGGCGCCGCCUUAGGAUGAGCCCGCGUCCCAUUAGCUAGUUGGUGGGGUAAUGGCCCACCAAGGCGAUGAUGGGUAGCCGGCCUGAGGGGGUGUACGGCUCCAUUGGGACUGAGAUACGGCCCGGACUCCUACGGGAGGCAGCAGCUAAGAAUAUUCCGCAAUGGACGAAAGUCUGACGGAGCGACGCCGCGUGGAUGAUGAAGGCCGUGAGGUUGUAAAAUCCUUUUGCUGGGGAAGAAUAAGCGUGGGAGGGAGUGCCUGCGUGAUGACAUGAACCGGCGAAUAAGCCCCGGCUAACUACGUGCCAGCAGCCGCCGUAAUAC